rnacentral:rRNA from 1 species
AUUGAACGCUGGCGGCAGGCCUAACACAUGCAAGUCGAGCGAGCGGCGGACGGGUGAGUAAUGUCUGGGCAACUGCCUGAUGGUGGGGGAUAACUACUGGAAUCGGUAGCUAAUACCGCAUACCAUCAGAUGUGCCCAGAUGGGAUUAGCUAGUAGGUGGGGUAACGGCUCACCUAGGCGACGAUCCCUAGCUGGUCUGAGAGGAUGACCAGGAACACGGGAACUGAGACACGGUCCAGACUCCAACGGGAGGCAGCAGUGGGGAAUAUUGCACAAUGGGCGCAAGCCUGAUGCAGCCAGGCCGCGUGUAUGAAGAAGGGCAUCGGGUUGUAAAGGACUUUCAGCGGGGAGGCGUUACCCGCAGAAGAAGCACCGGCUAACUCCGUGCCAGCAGCCGCGGUAAUUC